CGGAGGAGAAGAUAACCUGCGCGGAUGGUUUGAAACCUCCAAAUGGAAGAGAUGGGGAAAUUUGUGACAGAAAAAAGAAAAACGGCGUCAGAGGUAAACAUGAAAGGAAACCUGGCUCAUCCACUCAUCAGCAUUCCAGACACUUGGUGACGGUCAUGAGUCUGGAGGAGGCACACUGGGGGAUAGAGAUGAUGGUCUAUCCAUGUGUGCUGCGUCUGCCCACAGAGCCAGAGGUAAUCGCUGCUGGGAGGGGGGAAAUUAGGUUAGCAAAACAUGGAGCAAUUGGCAAUCAAAGCUUGAAAACGUACGCUCAGCAAUGCACAUUUGAGUGC